CUACGGGGUGCUGCAGUGGGGAAUAUUGGACAAUGGGGGAAACCCUGAUCCAGCAAUGCCGCGUGUGUGAAGAAGGCCUGCGGGUUGUAAAGCACUUUCGGUUGGGAGGACUGCUUCUAGCACUAAUAUUGUUGGAAGUUGACGUUACCUUCAGAAGAAGCACCGGCUAACUCCGUGCCAGCAGGCCGCGGUAAUACGGAGGGUGCAAGCGUUAAUCGGAAUUACUGGGCGUAAAGCGCGCGUAGGCGGCUAGUUCAGUCGGGUGUGAAAGCCCCGGGCUUAACCUGGGAACUGCAUCCGAUACUGUCUAGCUUGAGUACAGGAGAGGAGAGUGGAAUUCCACAUGUAGCGGUGAAAUGCGUAGAUAUGUGGAGGAACACCAAUAGCGAAGGCAGCUCUCUGGCCUGAUACUGACGCUGAGGUGCGAAAGCGUGGGGAGCAAACAGGAUUAGAUACCCGUGUAGUC
rnacentral:rRNA from 1 species